UACGUAGGGCGCAAGCGUUGUCCGGAAUUAUUGGGCGUAAAGAGCUCGUAGGCGGCCUGUUGCGUCCGCUGUGAAAUCCCGGGGCUCAACCCCGGGCCUGCAGUGGAUACGGGCUGGCUGGAGGCAGGCAGGGGAGAACGGAAUUCCUGGUGUAGCGGUGAAAUGCGCAGAUAUCAGGAGGAACACCGGUGGCGAAGGCGGUUCUCUGGGCCUGUUCUUGACGCUGAGGCGCGAAAGCUAGGGUAGCAAACGGG
rnacentral:rRNA from 1 species